AGAGUUUGAUCCUGGCUCAGAUUGAACGCUGGCGGAAUGCUUUACACAUGCAAGUCGAACGGCAGCACGGGAGCUUGCUCCUGGUGGCGAGUGGCGAACGGGUGAGUAAUAUAUCGGAACGUACCCAGACGUGGGGGAUAACUAGUCGAAAGAUUAGCUAAUACCGCAUACGUCCUGAGGGAGAAAGCGGGGGAUCGCAAGACCUCGCGCGUUUGGAGCGGCCGAUAUCUGAUUAGCUAGAUGGUGAGGUAAAGGCUCACCAUGGCGACGAUCAGUAGCUGGUCUGAGAGGAUGAUCAGCCACACUGGAACUGAGACACGGUCCAGACUCCUACGGGAGGCAGCAGUGGGGAAUUUUGGACAAUGGGCGAAAGCCUGAUCCAGCCAUUCCGCGUGAGUGAAGAAGGCCUUCGGGUUGUAAAGCUCUUUCGGCAGGAACGAAACGGUGAGAGCUAAUAUCUCAUUACUAAUGACGGUACCUGAAGAAGAAGCACCGGCUAACUACGUGCCAGCAGCCGCGGUAAUACGUAAGGUGCGAGCGUUAAUCGGAAUUACUGGGCGUAAAGCGUGCGCAGGCGGUGACUCAAGUCAGAUGUGAAAGCCCCGGGCUUAACCUGGGAACGGCAUUUGAAACUAGGUCGCUAGAGUAUGGCAGAGGGGGGUA
rnacentral:rRNA from 1 species